rnacentral:rRNA from 1 species
UCCGGUUGAUCCUGCCAGAGGCCGCUGCUAUCCGGCUGGGACUAAGCCAUGCUAGUCUAGGGGCUUGUACCCCUUCGGGGGUGCAAGCACCGGCGGACGGCUCAGUAACACGUGGACAACCUGCCCUCGGGUUGGGGAUAACCCCGGGAAACUGGGGCUAAUCCCCCAUAGGUGAUGGGUGCUGGAAUGCCCCAUCUCCGAAAGCGCUCAGCGCCCGAGGAUGGGUCUGCGGCGGAUUAGGUAGUUGGUGGGGUAACGGCCCACCAAGCCUAAGAUCCGUACGGGCUGUGGGAGCAGGAGCCCGGAGAUGGACCCUGAGACAAGGGUCCAGGCCCUACGGGGCGCAGCAGGCGCGAAACCUCCGCAAUGCGGGAAACCGCGACGGGGUUAGCCGGAGUGCCCGUGCAUUGCACGGGCUGUCGGGGUGCCUAAACAGCACCCCAUAGCAAGGGCCGGGCAAGGCCGGUGGCAGCCGCCGCGGUAAGACCGGCGGCCCGAGUGGCGGCCACUCUUAUUGGGCCUAAAGCGUCCGUAGCCGGCCCAGUAAGUCCCCCGGGAAAUCUGGUCGCUUAACGAUCAGACUUCCGGGGGAUACUGCUGGGCUAGGGACCGGGAGAGGCCGAGGGGAUUCCCGGGGUAGGGGUGAAAUCCUGUA